rnacentral:rRNA from 1 species
UUUACCUACGGGAGGCAGCAGUGGGGAAUAUUGCACAAUGGGCGAAAGCCUGAUGCAGCAACGCCGCGUGAAGGAAGAAGGGUUUCGGCUCGUAAACUUCUCUUAACAGGGACGAAAGAAAUGACGGUACCUGAAUAAGAAGCCCCGGCUAACUACGUGCCAGCAGCCGCGGUAAUACGGAGGGGGCAAGCGUUAUCCGGAAUUACUGGGGGUAAGGGGUGAGUAGGCGGCAUGGUAAGCCAGAUGUGAAAGCCUUGGGCUUAACCCGAGGAUUGCAUUUGGAACUAUCAAGCUAGAGUACAGGG